UUGUACUAUGAAAACCUCACCUGCAUCUCUUUGCACGUUCUGCAGUCCGCCAAGGAAGGAAGCCUCUUGUGCCUGGUGGUAGUGGUUUUGCAUCAAAGUAGACUCAGCAAAGAAACCUAAUCUGGAUGAUCACUCUACCUCACAUUCUCUCAAACCCAGAAACAGAACACAAAGCAUGAGAAAUGAGGACAUGAAGAUAAUAAUCAUCUGCAAAAUUCCUGUAAAAUCUGGAGUAUUACUUUCAAAGAAGACAACUAGAACUUUUCAACAUCAAGAAAUAACCAUUUAACAUCUACACAGGAGGUAAAUGUGAACCACUCUAAAACCACUGUGGGCAACCUGUGCCAGGUUCAGUCACCCUCAAAGUAAGACUGUUUCAUUAUGUUGACAAAAAACCUCUGGUGAUUUCAUCUCUACCUACUCCACCUUGCCUUGUCCCCAGGCACCACUGGAAAGAGUCUGUCUCCAUCUCCUUUACCUCUUCCCUUCAGAUAUUUAUACACCUUGAUCCCAUUCUGAGCCUUCUCUUCUCCAAGCCAAAGAGUCCCAGCUUUCUCAGCCUUUCUGAAAUCAGAACUGCUUUAGUCUCUUCGUCUUAGUGGCACACUUCACUGGACUCUCCAGUAGCUCCAGUUCUCUCCUGUACCACAGAUUCCAUGGUCUCACUUGUGCUGAGUAAAGAGGAAGAAUUACCUCCCCCAACCUGCUCACAAAGUCUCUACCAAAUGCAUCCCAAACACCACUGGCACUGUUUCAUGGGACAGCUUGUUGUCCACCAGGAUCUGCAGCACCCUUUCUGCAAAGCUGCUUUCCAGCCCCACAGCUCCAGCAUAUUCUAGUGCACAAGACUAUUCCUGUCCAAGUGCAGGACCUUGCACUUCCUUUUCUUAAGCUCCUUGAAGUUCCCAUCAGCUUAUUCCUCCAGCCUGCUGAGGUCCCUCUGGAUGGCAGUAUAUCCUUGCCUUUCAAGGGAUCCAGGUAAGAUUGACUGGUCUGUAGUUUCCUCGAUUCUUCUUACCAGACUUCUUGAAAACAGGUAUGACAUUAGCUAUCCUCCUCCAGUCCUCAUUUGUUUAAGUAUUCUCUAAUCUGAUCCUCUUGCAUCCAUAUGAAUGUUAUCUGUAGGCCUGCCUCAAACAAAACUAUAAAACAAAACUAUAAAACAGGUAUUUUUUUCCACUUAGAAUGCUCUGAUUUACGCCAGCAUCAUUAAUAAUUUUGUAUAAUUACUAAUGCAGUGAUACUGUAAUUCUCAAAAAUACUGAAGGACAAUACUAGAUAACAGUAUUCAGAUACUUCAAAAGAGGAAGAGAGAUUUCCCUGGAAAAAGCAGUACUCUUCCCAAGCUACAUAGUGAAUUACCCCUCUGGCUGCAACUGCUGUAAUGUCAAUUUUAAGUCUUCUGCCUGCCACUACUACAUUUUAAGAGAUGCAGUAGUGAAGACAUAGAGAUAGUAAAAAAGACAUUAGUAGAGAUAUGGAGAUCUUGCAGAAAUCCUUACAGCAACUAGUAAUAACCAGAUGUGAAGUAUACGGAGAAUUUGCUGGUGUCGGCAAAGUCCUAUGUUAUAUGGAAUAUCUCAGUAUCAUCGUAUCAAUACAUCUACAGUUAGUAUACAAGGAAACUCCUGAAUUACUCUGCUGUUCAUUAGUAAAAUACUUAGCAAUACCUUUUAGCCAAAGGUCUUCCCCGAGACAGUCUGCAAAGGCACUUGCUCCUCUAUCUCCAAUAAGCAUGUUGCAAUUCAAAGUAAUCCGCCU